AAAGCGCACCGGGUGAUCGCUUUCCGCAGAGAGCGGAGAGAGGAAAGUCCGGGCUCCGAAUAGCGGCGUAGCGGGUAACUCCCGUCCACCGCGAGGUGAGGAUAAGAGCCACAGAGACGAGUCUGCUUCGCUUUUUGACAUGCGGCGGAGGUAAAGCUUCGCGGGACCACUGGUCCCGGGAGAGGGGAACCCUCUACGAAGCCGCACCUCGGUUUUACAUGUUGACCGGCGCAGCAGGGUGAAACGAGGCAAUCUCUACGCGGAGCAAGGCCAAAUAGGGAAGGAGUCAGGAAAGUCCGGAACAUGCGGACCGACUGGCGGGAAGCGGCUAGUUUCCCAGACUUCCGGGUAGGCUGCCCGAGGCCUUUAGCGAUAAAGGUCCCAGACGGAUGGUCACCGCCCCGGUGCCGCUUUGCGCGGCAAACCACCGGGGUACAGAACCCGGCUUACAGGUGCGCUUUCAUG
rnacentral:RNase_P_RNA from 1 species